rnacentral:lncRNA from 1 species
GCGUAGCGGGGGAGGUGUUUGACUUCAAAAAACAACUCGGGAUGUACUGUAAGAACGAUGUCGUUUUGUUACGUGAGGCUUGCAUGAAAUACAGAAAUGAGUUUAUCGAGUGUACAAACGUGGACCCGUUCGGAUGUAUAACGCUUGCCGGUUGUGCUAUGAAAGUGUUCAAAACGCUUUUUUUAACCAAAGACACGAUAGCCCUAACACACAAAAAUGCAUACAUCGAUCAGUACAAAGCUUACUCAAAUCCAUCCAUCCAAUGGCUCGAAUACAUUAAAGCUAGCAGAAACGUCGACGUUCAACAUGCGUUAAAUUAUGGCGAAGCCAAAUUCGGACCGUAUCAUGUGGAUGGUUAUUAUGAAGUUGAUAACGGUGAUAGAAUAGCCUUGGAAUUUUUAGGUUGUUUCUGGCAUGGGCACGAUUGUCGUUUUAAUCCUAACGAUUUGAAUCCGGUAUCAAAAAUACCAUUCAGUGUGCUCAGAAGACAAUCUGACAAUAAAUUGAAUGUUUUGCGUAAUACCUACAAUCUCAAUGUACAUGAGAUUUGGGAAUGUCAGUGGGAGAAAUCCAAACAAAACGAUUCUGAUGUCAAAGCUUUUAUGAGUAGUUAUAAUGCACCUGCAAGGCUUAAUCCGAGGGACUCGCUUUUCGGAGGCAGGACUAAUGCACUCAAGCUGUACCACAAGGUCAGCGAAGAUGAACGUAUCUCCUAUUUGGACUUUACAUCUCUUUAUCCUUAUGUGCAGUCGUGCAAAACAUACCCUAUAGGACAUCCCGAAAUAAUUUUAAAAGAUUUUGAACCGGUCGAAUCGUAUUUUGGUCUUGUUAAAUGUACCGUACUCCCACCGCGUAAUCUACUCCACCCGGUUCUACCUUUCAAGUCUCCAGAGGGUAAACUAUUGUUUGCACUGUGUCGCACAUGUGCCGAGACUCAAUAUCAGUACCAGUGUCAGCAUGUUGAUGAAGACAGAGCCAUUUCAGGCGUUUGGACAUCUGUUGAACUCGCCUGUGCUAUUGUUAAAGGUUAUUCAGUCGUCAGAACUGAGGAAGUCUGGCAUUUCCCCCAGACAUCAGACACAUUAUUCAGCGAGUAUGUUAAGACAUUUCUCAAAUUCAAACAGGAGGCUUCAGGUUUUCCGCCAGACGUAGUGACAGACGCAGACAAGGAGACUUACGUCAAAGGGUAUUUUGAGAAGGAGGGUGUUCAGCUAGACAUCGAUAAAAUCACACUCAACCCUGCACGUAGAUCUAUAAAUAAAUUUUUAUUGAACUCCCUUUGGGGGAGAUUUGGGCUUAGGUGUAAUUUGCCUACAGCAGAACUUUUAACAGAUCCCGAAGAUUUCGCCCGUUACAUCUUCGGAAAUGGCCAUAUCAUUAAACACUUCUCAUUCGUGUCAGACUCAGUAGCGCUAGCGCAGUGGUGUUACGCAGACGAAGACCCCACCCCCGCGCGCGAUGUUAAUGUGUUUAUUGCAGCAUUCACCACUGCGUAUGGCCGUUUGGAGUUAUACAGGCUUAUGGAUCAAUUAGGUUCUCGUGUUUUUUACGUAGAUACAGACAGCGCCAUCUUCAUAACGAAAGAUGAAGAUUGGAUGCCUAAAACAGGUGCAUAUCUUGGCGAACUGACGGACGAGCUUGAUGCAGACGACUACGUCAUCGAAUUCGCAUCGACCGGACCGAAAUCGUACAGUUUUAGAACCGUGAAAAAUAAAGUCACUCUUAAAGCUAAAGGUAUCACGCUCCAUUCUACGAAUGCAAAAGUCGUUACCCUAGAAAGCAUGAUCUGUCUGAUACAUGGUUAU